GCGCAGCAGGCGAGAAACUUCGCAAUGCGCGAAAGCGCGACGAGGGGAUUCCAAGUGCAUGCACUAAGUGUAUGCUUUUCGUGAGUUUAAAACGCUCACGGAAUAAGGGCUGGGUAAGACUGGCGCCAGCCGCCGCGGUAAUACCAGCGGCCCUAGUGGUGAUCGUUAUUAUUGGGCCUAAAGCGUCCGUAGCCGGUCCGGUAAAUCUCUGGGUAAAUCGUUGGGCUUAACUCAGCGAAUUCUGGGGAGACUGCUGGACUUGGGACCGGGAGAGGUCGGAGGUACUCCAGGGGUAGGGGUGGAAAUCCUGUAAUCCUUGGGGGACCACCGGUGGCGAAGGCGUCCGACCAGAACGGGUCCGACGGUAAGGGACGAAGCCCUGGGGCGCGAACCGGAUUAGAUACCCGGGUAGU
rnacentral:rRNA from 1 species